AGAAACAAACAUCGAGCACAAGUUCUUUUUAUUGCUAAUAUAGAGAGUCUCAUCUCUUAAUUCCCAAUUCCAAUGAUGUUUUACGACUGCAGUUUAUAGUGAUGGAACAGCAGAAUCUCAUGCAAGAAAAACAUGAUGCCAAUAAGAGCAAAAGAGAAAUAUCAAAGCAGCAGAAUACUGAAACUUAUAUUUCAUAAAUAACAACCAAGGAAAGAAAGCACUAUAAAUGUAAGGGUUCAAUUUAACGACACACAGCUCGAUUCAGAGCUCACUAAUUAGCACUGGCCAAGACUCAAUCAAUAUCUGGUAUCCUUCAGGUACUAUGGCCUGUGUCUGUACACACCCCGCCAAUGCUGGGACGUCGGAGUUCACGUCUAGAAACCUCGCAAGCAACAGUAGCAGAUGAAAGUCCGAAAUCCGUUUCACAAAAGGGAGAUUCUUUGCCCGAUCCAGAUGGUUCUUUAACGCCUUCAUUGUCACAAGGGUGUUCCUGUUCUCAAUGGGAAAUGUCGAAGAAAGUGGACCCUGAAAUUAUCGUGAGAGCUUCCAUCAGUGAUAGAAAAACAUUUAUCCAAGUUAUGCACAAGAAAACAUGUCAUGUAAGCAUAUGUGCCCAACCAACGAUGACUGGAACGCAAAUAGUGCAUACAGAUACAGUUAGAAAAAUCGUAUGUGCCCAACCAACUAUAUACUGCAAAAGUCAAUUUCAGUCACUUGAUCUUGUAAAGAUUCAUAGCCACAAUGAAGUGGCACAGAUACAGUUCUCGAGCAGCAAUGUAACUGGAAUUCGUAAAACCAAGGUCAAACUACAAGCAUAGUAAAGUCUAUAGUCUAUAUUUAGCCACAUUAGAGGCAGGCAGCAACUACUAAUGAAAAUGCUGGUAGAAUGCCAUUUUAUGAAGAUUCCCUUCCGAACAAUAACCUCAACCUCCCUUACUAGCCUAUUAUCAGAAAGGGUGUCAUGACUCAUGAAACUGGAGAUAAUAUAUAAUUGAAUUAUCAUGAUUCAAUUCAAACUAUUCAAUUGUUAGGCCCUAAAUUGGAUCAAUUGCUAAUUUCACAGACAGCAGCAGAUCUAAAAUGUAGAGAGCAUAUACAGUCAUACAGACCCCCGAAGAAGAGAUGCAAGUGUUGGAACAGAAAUAUGCCGCCCAACAGUAACCAAAUUCACUCUGAUGCUACUAGGAGGUUGAGAACAAGAAUACUGUCAUAUCCAGAUUCCAGAUUCGAUAUACAAACUCUAAGUUAAAGAAACUUAACUAUGACUCAAAUACUCUAUACCAGAAUUCAUGCACACGAUAACAAGCUAAUUUCUAUUCAAAAGCAGCGAACAAGAUUACGCAACAGCAUUCAGUGAAAGAAAAUUACAAAUCAACAGCAAAAAGGAGCUAGAAACAACAACCUACUCAGCAUCAUUUGCUUCCAUUGAAACAAAAAGAAAAUUAAUAGCACUGUUUUAUUCUCUUAGCUCUACUUCGUAAUGAAAACACAAACAAACUAUAGCAUAAGCAUGAUAUAUGAAGUCAGCAGAGGUCUCCAGUAGGAGUGAUUUAAUCAAACAUUGAUCAAACUGGAUCUCGAAACAGGUUUGUCCUUUUGAUAAUAGCUUCAGGAAUUAUUUUCUUGUUGCCACAAUGAGAAUGGAUUUGUAAACUAUAAAGGAUGGACACAAACAAUGGUCUAAAUAUUCUGCUGGUAGAUUCAUGAGAAGAUUCAGAUAAGCUCGAUGGAAGGACGAAAGGUGCAAGUUAUGAACAUGCCAAGUGUUCAAACAGGUGGGCUACGGAGUGAAGGGUAUUUUGAGCUGAAAGAGAAUCCAACCCAAACUUUAUAUUGAAAGUCAAACCUGCCCCAAGUGCCAAGCACCGAUAUUUCUUCCUGCUCAAGCAGAAAAUUUGCAAACUCGACUAAGAUAACUUUUCUGAUGAUCAUAAAUGACUCAACUCUAUUUCAUUAAUAAUGAAAAGAACUAGGGCUCCUUUAGCAAAAGCACAGUCAAUCUGUUUAUUCCGAUCCUGAAUAACUUAACCCAGUACAAGCCUUUGAAGAUGCCUUUUCCGAUGCAUGCAUAUGAACCUAUACAACAACUGGCUCUAGCUGAGGAUCCAUGAGAUUUCUAACAUAUCAACCCUUGAAGGAACAGUGGCAUUCGUAGACAGAGGAGCAAUCUCAGCAGCAGCUAGAUGAGCCGGAAUGGUUUAAACCCUUUAUUUCACAAGAAUUUGUUGGUGAACCUGGUCCAAGCGCCAAGCGCUGAUCAGGAACAAACCUUCUUGUCCUAGUAUAAAAUCUGAUUAUCCUAAAUGACUCAACUCUAUUACUUAAAUAACAAAAUGAACUAGGGCUCCAGAAACAAAAGCCUGUGCAUCCUCUUUAUUUUUAAUCCUGAUUAACUUAACCAUAAAUAACUCAAAUAAAAGAUAACUACAAAAAUAGAAUAAGUAGAGAAAUCAAGAAUGAAAACUGUCGUAGCAAUUCCUACCGGUAGGUUAGAGUUCAUUCAAAGAUGAUGAGUAAUAAGGUCAGAAAUCGUAUCUAUAAGAGUGAGUUACCAGAGCAAUGAACUCUAUGAUGACAAUAAAUCUCGGGUUGAAUUGAAGGCAUCACUCACAACAAGAAUCAAAUUGAUUAAAUGGGGGGGCGCUAGUUAGAAAACAAGGAAAGAAAUUAAUGUAAUUUAUUACCUGACAAACACAUGACUACACCUCAAAUCUCUUGCCCUAAUUCUAGCCACGGACCCGCUAAGAUGGGUGGAGAACAUUAGGCAAUAAUUUGGGGCGUGUUCUCUUCAACGGAAAGAGGUGGAAGACAUAUACUUUCACCAUUUUCUUAGUCUUUUCACAUGUUCCAUAGGGUUAAUUUUCCCCAGGAAAGAUUGAAUUUUUUUCCAAGCAGCCCCCUUCCCUCCUUUUCAUUCCAAUUCAUGAUAAUAUUAUCAUAUGAUUAUUUUUUACGUUUUUCCAUCUUAAAGAACAUGAGAUAAAAAAUGUGCAACUACUAAAAUGUACCAAAAUUUUCGCUUAUUUUUUUAUCCCUCUUUUUCUUAUAAUCAAUUUGCAACUAAAGAGAACGCACCCUCAAGAGAUAAACAAAUGGUAUUAUGAGUAGUGGUCACGACUAGGGAUUGCGCAUCAAAGAAGAUACAUUUACAUGGUUUUCAAGGAAUAAAUGAUGUCAUCAUGUGUUCCAGAAAACAUUUUCUAUUAAAAAUGUCAUUGUGCUCUUCAUUAUAGUUAGCCAGAAAAGAUUACCGACUAAGGACACCAUGUCAACAUUGCUUUCACAUAGCUAGUGGUUGAAUAAAUUAACUUACAGUGAUGAUUUGCAAGAAUGAUGUGUCAAAGUGGAAAGUUGUGCCCCAAUAAAAGAAAAUGAUUUUGGUCAAAGAGAAUGAACUGCAACGCCAUUCUUCCAUUUGUAAUGGUAAUUUUUUUUACUAGAAGUUUGAAAAGCACGCUGACACAAGAGAAGAAGACAACAUUCACUUUGGUUCAAGCACUAGAAAGACAAACAACAAAAGAAUCAUAUUUGAGGGUAUUGAGCUUGCAUUGUGGGCUGCAUUCAACUAAGAAGAAUAUCUUGGUUUUGGAAAAUAUUCCCAAAAUAUGAUCUCUGAGGGGCAGUUAGAAGUCUCGUCCAUAGGAUUCACUCUACCCUAGCUAGUCCAAGCCAAAUAACACAUACUCAACUCAAGUAUUCUAUGAAGCAUAGUCCCUUGUUUACUAUGAUGGAUUGAAGCUUUAGGAUAUAUGAAGACCCUUGAUAAUUUCCAUCAUUUGAGCUAGUGUUGCUUAAUUCAUAUUCCAUUGAGAGGGUGAGAUUGAAGAAAUUCUAGUCUUGAGGAUAAAAAUACUAAUCAUGUUUUUAUGAAUCAUGCAAGGUAACCGCCCCUAAAAGAAUAAACAGUCAUGUUGUUAAGCUACACGAGAAACUCACAGGUAUGCAACCCCAAUCAAUACCAUCAAACAUAUAAUUCAAAUUAGCUAACCAAUCUCUAGCUGAACCAUUGAUAAAUUUCUAGGAACUGGCGCAAUGUAGUUUCAAUAAAUAAAUAACAAAUGCAUAACGACAAAGAAAGAAAAUUUCCUCAGGCAAAACAGAAAAAAGGCUAACCUGGUGAUCAACAAUCUUAACAACCACCAUGAAGAAGUCAUUAUCCACAUCUUUGGUGUCUU
rnacentral:lncRNA from 1 species